AAAUGAUGAUGAGGACAUUGGCUUAUGAGGAGAUUAUAAUGUUCCCAUGCUUCAUGAAACGUUUCACCAUUCUAUUGGGUAAAAAAGUGAAUCUUAUCCCUUAUUUC